rnacentral:rRNA from 1 species
AUUGAACGCUGGCGGCAUGCCUUACACAUGCAAGUCGAACGGUAACGCGGGGCAACCUGGCGACGAGUGGCGAACGGGUGAGUAAUAUAUCGGAACGUGCCCAGUAGUGGGGGAUAGCCCGGCGAAAGCCGGAUUAAUACCGCAUACGACCUACGGGUGAAAGCAGGGGAUCGCAAGACCUUGCGUCAUUGGAGCGGCCGAUAUCAGAUUAGCUUGUUGGUGGGGUAAAAGCCUACCAAGGCGACGAUCUGUAGCUGGUCUGAGAGGACGACCAGCCACACUGGGACUGAGACACGGCCCAGACUCCUACGGGAGGCAG